CAACUCUCAACAACGGAUAUCUUGGCUCCCGUAUCGAUGAAGAACGCAGCGAAAUGCGAUACGUAGUGUGAAUUGCAGAAUUCCGUGAACCAUCGAAUCUUUGAACGCAACUUGCGCCCGCGGCUUCGGCCAAGGGCAUGUCUGCCUCAGCGUCGGUUU
rnacentral:rRNA from 2 species